rnacentral:rRNA from 1 species
GACGAACGCUGGCGGCGUGCCUAAUACAUGCAAGUAGAACGCUGAGGACUGGUGCUUGCACCGGUUCAAGGAGUUGCGAACGGGUGAGUAACGCGUAGGUAACCUACCUCAUAGCGGGGGAUAACUAUUGGAAACGAUAGCUAAUACCGCAUGACAAUGGAGGACCCAUGUCUUUCAUUUAAAAGGUGCAACUGCAUCACUAUGAGAUGGACCUGCGUUGUAUUAGCUAGUUGGUGAGGUAACGGCUCACCUAGGCGACGAUCCCUAGCUGGUCUGAGAGGAUGACCAGCCACACUGGAACUGAGACACGGUCCAG